rnacentral:rRNA from 1 species
CCUACGGGUGGCAGCAGUAGGGAAUAUUGCUCAAUGGGGGAAACUCUGAAGCAGCAACGCCGCGUGGAGGAUGAAGGUUUUCGGAUUGUAAACUCUUUUUGAUAGAGAAGAUAAUGACGGUAUCUAACGAAUAAGCACCGGCUAACUCCGUGCCAGCAGCGGCGGUAAUACGGAGGGUGCCAGCGUUACACGGAUUCACUGGGCGUAAAGAGGGCGUAGGCGGGUUAGCAAGUCAGAUGUGAAAUCCUAUGGCUUAACCAUAGAACUGCAUUUGAAACUGUUAUUCUAGAGUAUGGGAGAGGUAGGUGGAAUUCUUGGUGUAGGGGUAAAAUCCGUAGAGAUCAAGAGGAAUACUCAUUGCGAAGGCGACCUGCUAGAACAUAACUGACGCUGAUGCGCGAAAGCGUGGGGAGCAAACAGGAUUAGAUACCCGUGUAGUC